GACGAACGCUGGCGGCGUACUUAACACAUGCAAGUCGAACGGUGAUGCUCCAGCUUGCUGGAGUGGAUCAGUGGCGAACGGGUGAGUAACACGUGAGCAACCUGCCCCAGACUCUGGAAUAAGCGCUGGAAACGGCGUCUAAUACUGGAUACGAAACUGGCCCGCAUGGGCAUGGUUUGGAAAGUUUUUCGGUUUGGGAUGGGCUCGCGGCCUAUCAGCUUGUUGGUGAGGUAAUGGCUCACCAAGGCGACGACGGGUAGCCGGCCUGAGAGGGCGACCGGCCACACUGGGACUGAGACACGGCCCAGACUCCUACGGGAGGCAGCAGUGGGGAAUAUUGCACAAUGGGCGAAAGCCUGAUGCAGCGACGCCGCGUGAGGGAUGACGGCCUUCGGGUUGUAAACCUCUUUCAGCAGGGAAGAAGCGAAAGUGACGGUACCUGCAGAAGAAGCACCGGCUAACUACGUG
rnacentral:rRNA from 1 species